rnacentral:rRNA from 1 species
UGAGGAAUAUUGGUCAAUGGGCGGAAGCCUGAACCAGCCAUGCCGCGUGGCGGAAGACGGCCCUAUGGGUCUUAAACGUCUUUGGUCCCGGAGCAAUAAGAGCCACGCGUGGCUCGAUGAGAGUACGGGAAGAACAAGCAUCGGCUAACUCCGUGCCAGCAGCCGCGGUAAUACGGAAGGUCCGGGCGUUAUCCGGAUUUAUUGGGUUUAAAGGGAGCGUAGGCCGGAGAUUAAGCGUGUUGUGAAAUGUAGUGGCUCAACCUCUGCACUGCAGCGCGAACUGGUCUUCUUGAGUACGCACAACGUGGGCGGAAUUCGUGGUGUAGCGGUGAAAUGCUUAGAUAUCACGAAGAACUCCGAUUGCGAAGGCAGCUGACGGUAGCGCAACUGACGCUGAGGCUCGAAAGUGCGGGUAUUGAACAGGAUUAGAUACCCUGGUAGU